AGGAUGAACGCUGGCGGCGUGCCUAAUACAUGCAAGUCGAGCGGUAAGGCCCCUUCGGGGGUACACGAGCGGCGGACGGCUGAGUAACACGUAGGAACGUACCCCAAACUGAGGGAUAAGCACCAGAAAUGGUGUCUAAUACCGCAUGUGGUCUUCGGAUUAAAGCUUCGGCGGUUUGGGAACGGCCUGCGCAUGAUUAGCCUGUUGGUGAGGUAAAAGCUUACCAAGGCGACGAUCAUUAGCUGGUCUGAGAGGAUGAUCAGCCAGACUGGGACUGAGAACGGCCCAGACUCCUACGGGAGGCAGCAGUAGGGAAUUUUCCACAAUGGGCGAAAAGCCUGAUGGAGCAACGCCGCGUGCAGGACGAAGGCCUUCGGGUUGUAAACUGCUUUUAUAUGUGAAGAUUAUGACGGUAGCAUAUGAAUAAGGAUCGGCUAACUCCGUGCCAGCAGCCGC
rnacentral:rRNA from 1 species